UGAUAUAGUUAUUUCAAGCAAUGGGUAUGAUUUGAAAUAAAAUAUCAAGUAGCUGGAAUUUGAUGAAGUAAUUGGAAAAUUUAAACUUUAUCGAAGAAGCUUGUAGAAACAAGAAGUUUAGUGGGAUCUCUAUGGAAUUUAUGACCUUACAUAUGUAUGACAUAUCAUUUGAUCAUAAAUAAUAUAAAGUAUAUUAGCACAAAGGAUUAAAAUCAUGUUUCUGAAAGGACUUAGAAUAAUUUGAUGAAAGUCUAUAUAGAUGGAUUGUAACAUUUGAUUAUACUAAGACAUGUACCGUGAAAAAAAAUUAAAGAAGUUUAAAAGGACAAUAUGUUUUCUCAAAAUGCCACAUAUCAUAACACUAUGUAGAAAUCAAUAGUUCAUGAGCAUGUGUGGAUGGAUAGAGUUCAAUUUGAUUCAAAGAUUGAAUUCAUUAUAUGUGCUAUCAAAUGUACAAACCAUAUGUUUCAUCUAUAUCUAUACCUGUACUAAUUAGGCACUUCCAAGAAAUUACCACGUUAAUUAGAAAAUAAGAGCCGUUUAUCUGGUGGGACCGAAUUAUUACGGUCUAGAUUUACCCACCCAAUCUUUUUUUCUCCAAAAAACUCGCAUACUCGUUUCAUGCUUGGACUCUAUAUAGCCUCCACGAUUUAUUUUUAAGCUCUUUGGUCUCCACGAUUCAAUCUACAUCAAACACACUCUUUCACAGUUAGGACUCUAUAUGGCGUCUACCCUUAAUCUAGGAUAAAACAUACCUAAUCUUUCGGAAGGUCAACUACCCGCUCCUAACUUUGUGCCGCUCUCCAUGCCCUAGGCCUAGAGACUCCAUCCGUGAGAUGUGGUCUCACUAUCCAGGUUGACGACUCCGGCGGCUGGUGGCGCUCCCAUUCGUCGCCAGCGAGCAGAAGUUGCAGCCUCGCGGCCCGAGGAUGGUUGAUGCAUCAUAUGAGGAGGUGUAUGCAUAAUGGUUUGAAUAAAGGAGGCUGCCAUAUGUACUUGAGGACAUCAAGUUGAGGAAUUACGUUGGACUAGUGACACAACAACUCACAAUCCAAACCCUACUCAAGUUCUUCUCCCAUUAUUCCUGCUCCACCCCAUCCAUAAAUAAGCCUGCAUUGUUAAUUCCCUCCUCUUCCAUCCGUUAAAUUCAUCUCUGAACCCCUAACAAGUUGUCUUAGUACAUCACGUUUCAUCAACAACAAUAGUUUUUUCCUUAUCUAUCUUCAUCACUUCUCUGCGUCAUAUUAUACAUUUUGGCGAGCGGAGGAGAACCAGCUAGGGUGUGAUAUGCAUAGCCUAAAGUGGCACCAUGCAGGCCUAGCUUGGAGAAGUAUGAACAUUGGAGCAAGAACAAGCAUGGAGUUGAUAGCAUGCGCAAGGGAAACAAAAAUGGAGUUUCCAGUGAUGAUUUCAGAACUUUGAAGCCACCAUAAUGAGUGCAUGAAGCCUUGGACGAAAUAUACAAGAUGCCACUUCAUAAAUUUCAUCGAGAGGCUAUUAUAGGUGUUGUGUCACCUUAUUAUUGGGCGAGGCCCAUGUAAUUUCAAAAUACUUGAAUAUAGGCUGUUUUUAGAGUCCGUAUGUGUGGGGAAACAAGAGUUAGG